rnacentral:tRNA from 1 species
AGGGGCGUAGCUCGAAGUUGGUUAGAGCGCCGGUCUCCAAAACCGGAGGUUGGGGGUUCGAGUCCCUCCGCCCCUGCCA